GACGAACGCUGGCGGCGUGCUUAACACAUGCAAGUCGAACGGAAAGGCCCAGCUUUUGUGGGGUGCUCGAGUGGCGAACGGGUGAGUAACACGUGAGUAACCUCCCCUUGACUUUGGGAUAACUUCAGGAAACUAGGGCUAAUACCGGAUAGGAGCUCUUGCUGCAUGGUGGGGGUUGGAAAAUUUCGGCGGUUGGGGCUCGAAUAGCGGCUUACCGGCUUGUUGGGGGGGUAGUGGCUUACAAAGGCUUUGACGGGUAGCCGACCUUGGCGGGUGACCGGCCACAAUGGGCCUGAGAGAGGGCGCAGACGCCUACGUGAGGCAGCGGUGGAGAGUAUUGCGCAAUAGGCGGAAGCCUGAUGCAGCAGCGCCGCGUGCGUGAUGACGGCCUUUGGGGUGUAAACCGCUUUCGCCUGUGACGAAGCGUGAGUGACGGUAAUGGGUAAAGAAGCACCGGCUAACUACGUG
rnacentral:rRNA from 1 species